rnacentral:rRNA from 1 species
GGUAGGCUUAACACAUGCAAGUCGUGCGAGAAAGUACCUUCGGGUGCGAGUAGAGCGGCGGACGGGUGAGUAACGCGUAGGAAUCUACCUAGUAGAAGGGGAUAGCCCGGGGAAACUCGGAUUAAUACCGUAUACCUCCUUAGGGAGAAAGAGGGCUUAGCUUUGAUGCUCUCGCUAUUAGAUGAGCCUGCGUAAGAUUAGCUUGUUGGUGAGGUAAUGGCUCACCAAGGCGACGAUCUUUAGCUGGUCUGAGAGGACGAUCAGCCACAUUGGGACUGAGACACGGCCCAGACUCCUACGGGAGGCAGCAGUGGGGAAUAUUGGACAAUGGGCGCAAGCCUGAUCCAGCCAUACCGCGUGUGUGAAGAAGGCUUUCGGGUUGUAAAGCACUUUAAGUAAGGAGGAAAAGAUUGUAGUUAAUACCUGCAAUCCGUGACGUUACUUACAGAAUAAGGACCGGCUAAUUCCGUGCCAGCAGCCGCGGUAAUACGGAAGGUCCAAGCGUUAAUCGGAAUUACUGGGCGUAAAGCGCGCGUAGGUGGUUUUUUAAGUUGGAUGUGAAAGCCCUGGGCUCAACCUAGGAACUGCAUCCAAAACUAGAUAACUAGAGUACGAAAGAGGGAAGUAGAAUUCACAGUGUAGCGGUGGAAUGCGUAGAUAUUGUGAAGAAUACCAAUGGCGAAGGCAGCUUCCUGGUUCUGUACUGACACUGAGGUGCGAAAGCGUGGGUAGCGAACAGGAUUAGAUACCCUGGUAGUCCACGCCGUAAACGAUGACAACUAGCUGUUGGGAGACAAGAUCUCUCAGUGGCGCAGCUAACGCUUUAAGUUGUCCGCCU